rnacentral:tRNA from 1 species
GAGGGUAUAGCUCAGUGGUGGAACGCGUGAUUAGUUAGCAUGCAGGAGGUCCUGGGUUCAAUCCCCAGUACCUCCA